AGCCGCGGUAACACCGGCGGCCCGAGUGGUGAUCGUGAUUAUUGGGUCUAAAGGGUCCGUAGCCGGUUGGUCAGUCCUCCGGGAAAUCUGAUAGCUCGAACUAUUAGGCUUUCGGGGGAUACUGCCAGACUUGGAACCGGGAGAGGUAAGAGGUACUACAGGGGUAGGAGUGAAAUCUUGUAAUCCCUGUGGGACCACCUGUGGCGAAGGCGUCUUACCAGAACGGGUUCGACGGUGAGGGACGAAAGCUGGGGGGCACGAACCGGAUUAGAUACCCGGGUAGUCCCAGCCGUAAACGAUGCUCGCUAGGUGUCAGGCAUGGCGCGACCGUGUCUGGUGCCGCAGGGAAGCCGUGAAGCGAGCCACCUGGGAAGUACGGCCGCAAGGCUGAAACUUAAAGGAAUUGGCGGGGGAGCACAACAACGGGUGGAGCCCUGCGGUUUAAUUGGACUCAACGCCGGACAACUCACCGGGGGCGACAGCAAUAUGUAGGCCAAGCUGAAGACUUUGCCUGAAUCGCUGAGAAGUGGUGCAUGG
rnacentral:rRNA from 1 species